AAUCCCUUCCAAGAGAAUUCAGGGAAACUACCCUCCCGUCUCACCCAACCCGAUCCCACUCAGUCCCUGGGAGCUGGUGCACUGUCUGGUUCUUAUAGAGCAGAGGUAUCUGUGCAGGUGUGUGAGAGUAAGUGUGGUGCCUCGUGCCCGUGUAAAUGAUGUGAACAGGUAAUCACUUACAUUAGUGUGUACACAAAUGUACCAGGCGUGGGAUUGCAUCAACACAGUGUAAUAACGUGUGACCUCCUACGGAAUCUAUCUCCGCAGAUGCAGCCUCUGCUCCCACUGCGGCUGUGGUCCCCCUCGGCGCAGCUCUCCGCGCUGCGCGCCCGCUGAGCCCGAGGUUCCCCGGCCCAUGUACUGGAAGCAUGAGAACGCCGCCCCGGCGCUGCCCGAGGGCUGCCGGCUGCCGGCCGAGGGCGGCCCCGCCACCGACCAGUUGGAAUUGACACUCUGGCUACCUCUUAUCUUGGGCAUUCACGACAAUUUCUAAUUGCAGGUGAUGGCCCAGCCAGGGUCCGGCUGCAAAGCGACCACCCGCUGUCUUGAAGGGACCGCGCCGCC
rnacentral:sRNA from 1 species